rnacentral:rRNA from 1 species
CAGUCGCCGCGGUAAUACGUAGGGUGCGAGCGUUAAUCGGAAUUACUGGGCGUAAAGCGUGCGCAGGCGGUUCGUUAAGACAGAUGUGAAAUCCCCGGGCUUAACCUGGGAACUGCAUUUGUGACUGGCGAGCUAGAGUAUGGCAGAGGGGGGUAGAAUUCCACGUGUAGCAGUGAAAUGCGUAGAGAUGUGGAGGAAUACCGAUGGCGAAGGCAGCCCCCUGGGCCAAUACUGACGCUCAUGCACGAAAGCGUGGGGAGCAAACAGGAUUAGAUACCCCGGUAGUCCCUGUCUCUUAUAA